GGGUGGUGGUCCUGCACGGGAACCGGUCUGGAGAGCGGCCCCAGAGGGGACUAGACCCGAAGCAAGGGAACGGUCCUUAGCAGGGAAUCUGGGGGGUCGGUUUUUGCGGGGGUGGGGCCUGGGAGGAAGCGGAGACCGAGGGACCCGCAGUGCCCACCCGGGCCUCCAGCGUCCGGCUCGGGCCUCCCGCACCCUGCCCGCGCGCGAGUGUUCAGGCCCACGCCUCUGCUCCCUGGGGUUGGCCCGGAGCCCGGCCUCUGAGAGCGGGAAGCAGUCUAUGGACAAGUCGGUGUUGUCAGCGAAGAUCCUCGGGACCGGGGUCACGCAGUGGGGGGCCGGGUGCUCGCUCAGGACCUGCGGGACCCGCCGGGAGGGGCGCAGUGGUCACCUCCAGCCUACGGGGCUCUCCGCCCACCCCAUCCCCUGCUGAGACGCACCCUGACCUCGCCCUUGGGGUUCAGGAGGAGAGUCACACAUCCCCGGCUGGAGUGGAAGUGGACGGGCUCCCGGCCCGAGGAUGACGGUGGCGGCUGCUUGGUGCUGGCAGGCCCCUCGCCCCAAACCUGGUGGACAAUGCGGGCGGGAGGUGAGGGGCGGUGGGGGCCGGAGCAGAGGCCACAAGGGCUCGCGGGGAGCGGGGCGCACCGUAACGUGGCGCCGGGGCUCCAGCCGCGUGCCGGGCGGGAAGCGGUACAUGCACACCGGAAAGCCGUGCAGGAGCUGACGCAGAGUGAGGCCGCCCAGGUUGGCAGUCUCCUCUAGCGACUGAUUGAGGAUGCGCACGUAUCUCUCCUUGCUGCUCACGGCCACAAUCUUCAGGCAGGAGCUUGGUGGGCUGGGCGGGGUAGCAGGGAUGGUAGAGGCACUGCAGAGAGGCUUGGGCACCUCUCUCCCGGGGUCCUGCUAGGAGGCCACCCCUGCUGUGACUCCCCCCCUACCCCCGUGUCACCCCCUCACCUCCCAUGGAGGUGCUGUCUGCGAUGCCCGAGCUCUGAUUCUACACAAAACUCCCUUGUCAGGACCACCUUACUAGGCCGGUUCCAGGGAUCCAGGGGGAGACCUGUGGGAAAGGAGACCCCCAUAUGGAGCAUCCUCUGGUGACAUCUAAUGCGAGGUCAGACUGACCUGCAGCGCUCUGAGGAUGCACGUGGGAGAGGAACAGCUCCAGGGCUCCGACCCAGAGCAGGAGGGACGGCCCUGGAGGCUAAGGGAAGAAGAGAUGGACAGCUCCAAGUACUGGGGUGGGGGUGGCAGGGAGGGGGCCAGAGUGCACCACGAGUCACCCAAGGCCACCUGAGGCCAUCCUAACCCCUAGGGAUGAGGCAAGGGAGCCCCCAGAGGCCUUGUGCGGAACUGUUGUCAAGACCAAGCUGCUGGUGCAGGUUGUUCAGGGCUUUGGGGAGAGAUCCCAGCCUCGCGGGGGAUGGGGGGGCAACCGGAGGAGACCCUCUGCACCCCACCUUCAGGCUGUGCCUGCAUUUCGCUGCGGAGGCUCCGCCAGUGGGGUUCUGUCAGCUCAGAACCUCGGCCUGGAGUGCAGGGCGGGCGUCUCGUCACCUUCCGCAUGGGGUAAGGCGCAGCUGGCCGGCCGCUGCUGGAGUCAGAGCCCGUGCCCCCUGAGCUGCUGGUGUCCACAAAGGGCAGGGAACUCCACUCCACACUCUUGAGAUGCCGUUCCACGUGCUCUCCAUGCAGCUCUGAGCCCCACUGGUCAGACGUGGGCCUGUGGGGAUGGCAGGGCCCGGUGGUGCCUAUGGGACAGUCUGCUGAUCUGCUUGCUGCCUACUGGAUUUGGCUUCUGGACUCCAGCCCUGCCCCCAACUAACCUCCCCAGGGUGGGUAGGGUACCCUGAGUUGUGGUUCCAGUCCCUGGGACCCAGCCUGGGAAAAAGGCUCAAAGAUGGACUGUGUUGGCUCAGGAGCCCUUUCCUUUGCCCCUUCCCCUCGUCCUGUAGAUCAGAGAAUUGACCUUGGAAGGUGUAAGUGACUUGUCCAGGGACACUAAGGGUAGAUCUUGGAUUCCAGUGUAUACAUGCCAAAGCAUGCCCUCUCCCCCCUUCACCCCUGCAGGGGUCCCUGACCAGCACAGUUACUUUUGAUCUGAGUUGGACUUAAUGUUGCUGAGGAGGCUGGGAGCCCGCUGGGCAAUGUUGUUCCAGUCUGCAUCCUUCGGCUGAAAACCCUGGCCAGAAAGCAACAGGAAUGUGGCCCUCCCCUCCCACAGGGCCGCAGAGCCAUGAAAGCACAUGGGGGCCUUGCUUACCUCCUUAGUAGAGGGGACCUGAUCAUUCUCAGAGAGGUCACUGGAGUCCAUCAGAGUUUCUGCAGUUACCACCUACAGAAGGGGAGUGGAGGCCAGCAGGCAGGAGCUGGGAGACUCUCCCCUUUGACCUCACCAGCACUGGAGGCACACGUUUGCUGUGCAUCAGCUCCAGAGUCAGCUUUUGCACCUGGUUCUGCAGGAACUUUUCCUGACUGCAUGAGCUCCUGGGGGAAAGGGCCAUCUCAGCAGCCCCCACCUCGAGGUCAGCAGCCAAAGAAGAGAGAAGGAGGGACUCUCUUCACUGACAUCGGGAGCAUAAGGGCACAGAGUUCCACUGGACCAGGCCAGGUUGAUGGAGAAGACCGCCGGCGUGGAGCUGGGCUUGGUGUCCGGCAGGCAUGCAGGAGCCACUGGGUCUUUAGGUGUGUCAGCUGGAGGUUCAGGAUGCCCACUGACCAGUUCUUGGUCCACCAGCGAUAAGGGAGCCUCUUUCUUGGCCUUUUCAGGCUCUUGGCAAGGUUCAGGGGCCAUUCUUGAUGUUCCUGGGGGAGCUGAGAUGGGCAGUUUGGCUGUGAUCCUUCUGUCCUACGUGUAGGUACCCCAUGGGACGCUCCUUCUGUGGCCACAAGUGUGUGCCUGUGUCUGACAGCCCUAGCCAGGACCACUCCAAGAACGCACGGGCAUGCUUUCCCCGCAGGACCCCAGAUUGCCAGGCACAUGUGUGUCCGUAUCUGUGUGUUUCGGACCAGGACAGGGCAGCAGAUCUCCCCGCCAGGCAACAUAUCACUGGGGACUGCCAGCAUGGCCGCAGCGGCCCUCCAGCUCCACUUCCCUCCCACGGGGACUCAAGACUCCCCGACCCCUGUGCGUCCCCCCCUCCCCCACGACGCGCCCUGGGGGAGCGAGGUAAGACAUUCAUCAGACUCGAAGGCUUCUGAGGAGGUCGGCCCGGGAGCGGAGCCAGACACCUGUCCCACGCACCGCCUGCGAGCCAGGUACGCGCUUCCGCGUAGUUCGCGGUCCUCUGGCGUGCGUGGAC